UGGUGGAGUGAUUUGUCUGGUUGAUUCCGAUAACGAACGAGACCUUGGCUUACUAAAUAGCUGCACCCGGUUCUCCCGGGCUGAAAAUGCUUCUUAGAAGGACCACCGGUUACUAAGCCGGAGGAAGUGCGAGGCAAUAACA
rnacentral:rRNA from 1 species